GGGACGAGGGGGAGGGGCCAGGAAGGACGAGGGGGAGGGGCCAGGAGGGACGAGGGGGAGGGGCCAGGAGCGGGAGGGGGGGAGCCGUGGCGCCGCUCUUGGGCCGCGAGGCCUCCCCCUGGACCCGCGGCGCCACGCGGAGACCGCGACAGCAGCAGCAGCAGGAGGUUUAAGAAUCUGCUGGUGUCUGUGCUGGAGGUGGACGUCGGAUAUCUGUGCGGUCUGGAGCGGUGGACAAUAGACUCCUGCAGCUCAACCAGGGCCAGAGGCUGAGAGCAGGGGAGAGGAGGCUACACGGGGAACUGGGCCGCGUCAGGGGCGAGAGACGCGGGGCGACUCGACACUUCACAGCGUGGCUGCUGCUGGGAGCGCGGUGACUCGAUGCAUUUGUCGUGAUGGCAUCAAAAGAUCCUGCAUAUGAGAUCAUUAAAACCAACAAAGUGAAUCUGCAGAAAUACCUCCAGGCGAAGUCUUCAGAAGUGCUUGACCAUUCCUAUCAAACAGGGAUAGUCCUGGACAGUGAAUACGCGUCUCUUAACAGCGAGAAUGACCCCGUUGUGCAAACACGGCCUCUGGUUAACCUGGUGCUCAUAAAGGGAGAACAAGUCUGCAUGAUAUUUCUUGAAGAUGUGCUCGUGCGACUGAGAUCCGAGAUCCCUCUCUUGGAUCAGUGGAUCUCACAGCAUGAGCACCAGCUCAACGUGAUCGGUGUCGAUCUGAGCAGAACUGCGGGUAAAGCCAUCCCUGGAGCAGCUUCUCGCAAAACAAACAAGACAAGUGUUUGGAACAUUUUUGUCAUGAUAAAAAAUAUUUUACAAAGAUAACCCUGGUGAGGAUUACAGAGAAUUCUUGCUGAAGCUGACAUCAUUAACACGAGACUACGACGCACGACCUGGAGAACCUGCAGUGUUUUUGUCAGAGAGGAUGCUGAAGCCAAUUCUGGUUCCCUACUACCGCCAUCAAGAAACCAAGGAGCACGAGUUACUAGCGAGAGACAAACAGCACAAGGAGCCGAUGGAGAGAGCACAUAGAGAAGCGAUGACUCACAAGAAGCUCUUUGAUCCCAUCAGUUCCAUUGGAAAAAAAACACACCCUCGACUGGUUAUUGUGGUGGGGACUCCAGGCAGCGGUAAAACCAUGUUGAGCAAAUUCAUUGUGCACAGCCUUCUGUCAGGUGAGUGAGUGUUUGCACAAUGCUUUGAGCACAUCGUGCUCAUCACGUUCAGGGAGAUAAAUGAUGUUGGAGAGGUGUCACUCGCAGAGCUGUUUUCUGUGAUGCACUCAUGUUUGGGAAACAAAGCGGAUGAGGUUUUCACAAACCAAGAGAGAACCAUUUUUGUUAUGGAUGGGUUGGACGAGUUUGGAAAGCGCCUUCACUAUGCCAAUACUUGCACUGAUCCACGUAAGACGGCAACAGUAGAAGCCAUCAUUGCUGCCCUAGUGAAUGGAAAUCUCUUGCCCAAGGCCUCGGUCUUGAUAACGACCAGACCCAUUGCCAUGGAGCAGCUGAGUGAAGUGAAUUUUGAUCGAGCUGUUGAAAUCACUGGGUUUUCCAACGACGAUAAACUAUCAUUCUUAAACAAAUUUUACCAAGACAGGAGUCUAGCAGAAACGGCACUCAAGCUCCUGCAGGAAAAUGAAAUGGUGAAUACAUUGUCCCAGAACCCUUCAUUCUGCCAUAUAGCAGCCAUUACACUGAAGGAACAUUUACAAAAGUCUGAUCAUUCUGAGAUUAUCCUCAAAUCAAUGACUGACCUCUUCACGCAAUACGUGUGUGGGCUCAUAAAACACCAUGGACGUGGCAGCCGCGGAACCAAGGAAGUCUCUUGCCAAUAUGGCUCUGAAGGGGGUUCAGCAAAACAUCCAGAUGUUCAGCCAAAAAGAUCUAGAAGAGUGUGUUGUUAGUUCUUCUGAACUAGGAAGUACAUUCAUCAACAAAGUGUUCACAUGUGAGGGCAUUCAACAAGGGAGUUGUUAUUCAUUUUCACACUUGACAAUGCAGGAAUUUUUUGCAGCAAUAGCCGUGCAUCUGUCACAUUCAACACGGCCAGUGAGUGACGUCAUCAAGGCUAUUAAGGACAGCAAAGAUGGGAGGUUUGAUGUGUUUCGGAGGUUUUUUUUGUGGACUAGCAUCAAGCACUCCAUGGAAGUUCUUUGAGGGUAUCUUGGAUCCUCCAUCUGCUGAUUCUCAAAAGGAAAUAAUCGAGUGGCUCAAUCACAGCAUGGAGACUCAGAAUGUUGACAGACACAGGCUCAUCAGUCUCCUGCACUGCUUGCACGAGCUGCAUGACCGCAAGUCCCUGAGUGAUGCCACUCGGUCCAUGACUGAGAUAGACCUGUCAUUCACAAGGCUGUCCCUGCCAGACUGCGCUGCCAUCUCCUGGAUCCUGCUGCAGCGAGAAGAACCUAUGGAGACACUCAACCUGUUCGGCUGUGGCAUCGGCACCGAGGAAAUGAAGAGGCUUCAGCGUGGACUGCACAGAUGUAAACAUCUAGUGCUGAGUCUCAACGAGAUCGGAGACAGCGGACUCCAGCUCAUAGCGGACGGGAUGUUGGGGAGAGAAGGGAGUUUGGAGACGUUACUUCUGGAGGGCUGCUCACUGAAGGACAAAUCGAUCCCAGCUCUCCAUGACAUUAUAAUCACCAACAAAGCAUUGAGGGAGCUCAGGGUGAACGACAAUGACUUCAGUGAGGAGGGGAAGAAGGAGCUGAGGAGCAAAUGGACUCCCAGAAGAAGCCUGCAGUUGUAUAUUUAAGCCGAUAGGCGACGCUGGCCCUGCAACAGAUGGAGCUGGCCCACGUGCAACUCGCACAGCAGCCCGGCGCAUUUCACCUCAACAGCUCCGAUCACCGGCACAGACUCUGAGCCUGACUGAGACGACAAUGAUCGGGGAGCUUUCUCUCUCUGUGAACCCCACACGAAGCCAAGGGUGAACGCGGCUCCGAGAUUCUGAUGAGCGUGGUGAUUCCGAUGAUGUGUAACUGUAUUUAUGAAUGUUGUGUAGGGAAUCGAUGUUGGGGCUCGUGGGGGAGGGGUGGCAGGGGGAAUGCGGAGGGUUGCGGGGCAGGGGGUGAUUUUCAAUGGUCUGGCAGCUCACCUGUUACAUCACGUAGCUACAAACAUUUUCAUAAAUUUUGCAUUAGUCACAAUGCCAUACACACCAUACAAAUCGUACACCUAAUAUGUUUUGCUCAUAACUUGCCCAUUGCUUUCAUAUUCAUUCUUGUGUCAACUCACGUUAAAAUAUCUUCUUUGUUAUUGUGUGAACUUACGUUCAAAUAAACCUUUUUUUUUUAUAUCA